rnacentral:lncRNA from 1 species
UCAAAUUGUUUGAGGAUAGGCUUUAAGCCUAAGCCCUAGACUUGAUGGUGUGGUUGCAGACAGUCUCAGCUCUGUUCACAUUGGUUGAAUAUACAUAAAGGGGCUUGGUAUAUAUAUAUUUUUAUAAAUAAUGAAGUAUGGGGCUUUGAAAGGUCAAAUCGUUUGAAGAUAGGCUUUAAGCCUAAUACCUAGAUGUGAUAAAGAUGUGCAUGGCAGACAG